CAGUCGCCGCGGGAAUACGGAGGGUGCAAGCGUUAAUCGGAAUUACUGGGCGUAAAGCGCACGCAGGCGGUCUGUCAAGUCAGAUGCGAAAUCCCCGGGCUUAACCUGGGAACUGCAUUUGAAACUGGCAGGCUAGAGUCUUGUAGAGGGGGGUAGAAUUCCAGGUGUAGCGGUGAAAUGCGUAGAGAUCUGGAGGAAUACCGGUGGCGAAGGCGGCCCCCUGGACAAAGACUGACGCUCAGGUGCGAAAGCGUGGGGAGCAAACAGGAUUAGAUACCCGAGUAGUCCCUGUCUCUUAUAC
rnacentral:rRNA from 1 species